GACGAACGCUGGCGGCAGGCUUAACACAUGCAAGUCGAACGGCUGUAGCAAUACAGCAGUGGCAGACGGGUGAGUAACACGUGGGAACCUUCCUAGGGGUACGGAACAACUCAGGGAAACUUGAGCUAAUACCGUAUACGUCCGAAAGGAGAAAGAUUUAUCGCCCUUAGACGGGCCCGCGUCGGAUUAGCUAGUUGGUGGGGUAACGGCCUACCAAGGCGACGAUCCGUAGCUGAUCUGAGAGGAUGAUCAGCCACACUGGGACUGAGACACGGCCCAGACUCCUACGGGAUGCAGCAGUGGGGAAUCUGGGACAAUGGGCGCAAGCCUGAUCCAGCCAUGCCGCGUGAGUGAAGAAGGCCUUAGGGUUGUAAAGCUCUUUUGGCAGGGACGAUAAUGACGGUACCUGCAGAAUAAGCCCCGGCAAACUUCGUGCCAGCAGCCGCAGUAACAC
rnacentral:rRNA from 1 species